GGGGAUUUAGCUCAGUGGUAGAGUGGUUGUCUAGCAAGCACAAGGCCCUGGGUUCGGUCCCCAGCUCCG
rnacentral:tRNA from 1 species